GGCCACAGCUCAGUGCCUGAGCACCUGCUUCUCAUGCAGAAGGUCCUAGGUUCAAUCCCCAGCAUCAUCA